CAGGACGAACGCUGGCGGCGUGCCUAAUACAUGCAAGUCGAACGGUCUUUCUAUGGAAGCUUGCUUCCACUGAGAAGAUAGUGGCGAACGGGUGAGUAACACGUGGGUAACCUGCCCAUAAGAGGGGGAUAACAUCCGGAAACGGGUGCUAAUACCGCAUAGUUUUCUUGAUCGCAUGAUUGAGAAAGGAAAGACGGCCUUUGUGCUGUCGCUUAUGGAUGGACCCGCGGCGUAUUAGUUAGUUGGUGAGGUAACGGCUCACCAAGACGAUGAUACGUAGCCGACCUGAGAGGGUGAUCGGCCACAUUGGGACUGAGACACGGCCCAAACUCCUACGGGAGGCAGCAGUAGGGAAUCUUCCGCAAUGGACGAAAGUCUGACGGAGCAACGCCGCGUGAGUGAAGUAAAAGGGUUUUCGGAUCGUAAAACUCUGUUGUCAGAGAAGAACAAGUUGGAGAGUAACUGCUCCAGCCUUGACGGUAUCUGACCAGAAAGCCACGGCUAACUACGUGCCAGCAGCGGC
rnacentral:rRNA from 1 species